rnacentral:rRNA from 1 species
AGAGAGAGACAUGCGCGCAUAUCAAUAAGCGGAGGAAAAGAAACUAACAAGGAUUCCCUUAGUAACGGCGAGUGAAGCGGGAAGAGCUCAAAUUUGAAAUCUUCAAGGUUUUACCUUGACGAAUUGUAGUUUAAAGAAGUGUUUUCUGCUGAAGUUUUGGUAAAAGUUCUUUGGAAUAGGACAUCAUAGAGGGUGAGAAUCCCGUAUUUGACCAUUAUUUUCAGCUUUGUGAUACACUUUCAAAGAGUCGGAUUGUUUGGGAAUGCAGUCCAAAAUGGGUGGUAAAUUUCAUCUAAAGCUAAAUAUUGGCGAGAGACCGAUAGCGAACAAGUACCGUGAGGGAAAGAUGAAAAGAACUUUGAAAAGAGAGUUAAACAGUACGUGAAAUUGUCAAAAGGGAAGCGUUUGACACCAGUGUUGUUUUCUCGAAAAUCAAUUAAAAAAUGGCUCGGAUUUUGUGAUUGUAUGAGACCUUUAUAAGCUUCACUGUACAUCUUUUCUUGUCUUUUUUAAUGCACUUUUCGUUUAACAAGUCAACAUCAGUUUCUUUUGUUGUAAAAGGGUCAUUGGAAGGUGGCUUUCUUUUCGGAGAAAGUGUUUAUAGCCUUUGGCCUCUGCAAUCGGAGAGACUGAGGUCUGCAGCGUAGACUCUUCGGGGUUAGAUACAUUUGUGCUAAGUUAUAGCUUUUUAUAGACAACUUGUUGACUAUAAUUAGUCUUGUAGCUUACUCGCUUAUGCUAUUUUACCUACGCUUAGGAUGUUGAGUCGUAGAGCACGCAG